rnacentral:rRNA from 1 species
UACGUAGGGUGCAAGCGUUGUCCGGAAUUAUUGGGCGUAAAGAGCUCGUAGGCGGUCUGUCGCGUCGGCUGUGAAAACCCGGAGCUCAACUCCGGGCCUGCAGUCGAUACGGGCAGACUGGAGUUCGGCAGGGGAGACUGGAAUUCCUGGUGUAGCGGUGAAAUGCGCAGAUAUCAGGAGGAACACCGGUGGCGAAGGCGGGUCUCUGGGCCGAUGCUGACGCUGAGGAGCGAAAGCGUGGGGAGCGAACAGG